UCACAAACUCGUAGAACUCCAAGUCUUUCAAGCCUUAACUCUCAGGAUUCUAGUAUUGAAAUAUCAAAGCUUACUGACAAGGUACAGGCAGAAUACAGAGAUGCAUAUAGAGAGUAUAUUGCUCAGAUGUCACAGUUAGAAGGAGGCGCCAAUUCUACUACAGUAAGUGGUAGGUCCUCCCCUCAUAGCUCAAGUGCUUUCUAUAUGGGGCAGAGUACAUCAGGGGGUUCCUUGCAUUCCAGUGCAGAACAGGAAAAAGGAAAAGAUGGUGAACAGAAACAAGAUGAUGGAAGAAAGUCCUUCUUGCUGAAGAGGAAUGAUGUUGUUGAUUACAGUACUUCAGGUGUUUCUACUAAUGAUGCAUCUCCUUUGGAUCCUAUUACUGAAGAAGAUGAAAAAUCUGAUCAGUCUGGUUCCAAGCUCCUCCCAGGAAAGAAGUCUUCAGAAAGAACAAGUAUUUUCCAGGCUGCAGAUUUAAAGCUUAAGGGAGUUACUCUCCGGUAUCAGAAACUUCCAAGUGAUGAAGAUGAGUCAGGAACGGAGGAAUCAGAUAAUACUCCACUUCUUAAGGAAGGUAAAGAUAAGAAAACAGAUGGCAAAAUAGAGAAGCAGCCCAAAUCUCCAGAACAUGGAUCUGAACCUAUUAGAACCUUCAUCAAAGCAAAGGAGUAUUUGACAGAUGCCCUUUUGGAUAAAAAAGAUUCGUCUGACUCUGGUGUAAGAUCCAACGAAAGUUCUCCAAAUCAUUCCCUCCAUAAUGAAGGAGCGGAUGAUUCACAGCUUGAAAAGGCAAAUCUCAUUGAGCUUGAAGAUGACAGUCACAGUGGAAAGAGAGGAAUUCCGCACAGCCUUAGUGGCCUUCAAGAUCCAGCUGUGGUUCGCAUGUCUAUUUGCUCAGAAGAUAAGAAAAGCCCUUCUGAAAGCAGCUUGAUAGCAAGUAGCCCAGAAGAGAACUGGCCAGCUUGCCAGAAAGUCUAUAAUUUAAAUAGAACCCCUAGUACAGUAACCUUAAAUAAUAACAGCGCUCCAAACAAUCAAGCUAAUCAAAAUUUUGAAGAAAUACAAGGUAUCAGAGAUUCACCUCAAAUUAUCCUGCACCCUGGCUCAGGUUCCACUUCAACUGCGGUUCAGAAUGAGAACCUCAAGAGCGUUGCUCACAAACGGAGCCACCGUUCAAGUUAUACCAGGCUUUCAAAAGAUUCAUCAGAGCUCCACACUGUUACGGCCUCAGAAGGGGCUGGUUUUGGAGAAGAAAGAGAGAGUAUCCUGUAAAAAGCAGCCAGGUUAAAACAGAGUAUGCCCAAGAAUUGUAGCUUGCUUGGAAUUCUUUGUCAGUGUGUGGUUACAUUAAGCUCUGUAGUUUAAGCUUUCAAUAUUGUAAUAGAAGUUCUCUAGAUUAUUUUCAGUCAUUUUGUUGGAGAGAAGAAGUAAUUUUCACGAGAAGCAAAUUACUUCACACCUUCCCCACAUAGAAAAGCAGUACUUGUCAUCAUGGAAAACCAGUUCUUUGUUAAGACACUGUGCAAAGGUUUGGUCAGGGGCGGAUGUUACAGAAGUAUGGUUUAAUUAUUAAAAUUAAGAUGUGAUUUUACUUUUCUGUUGGGAUAUAUAUUAGUUAUCCCUUCUAAACAUUCCAGCUAAGUCUGCGUACUUGCAAGUAAAGUUAAGACUGUGCAUCUUUGCCAUUUGACGCAAGAGAUGCCAGAAGAUUAAAUAUCACAACCUAUGACACCUUUAUCAAACUUUGUGUUAAUAGUGGAUUAAUGUGUGCAACAUAUAUUACAUAUGUUGAAAUUUGAGUGUUAAAAUACCUGUUCGGCUAUACGUACACUUUUACUCUCUGUAUGUUCAGUAAUUGCUGUUGACUUUGUGAACUUUGGGUAGAGUGGUGAUAGGGUUUGUAAGGAACAUUGUCUUGAUGUGUCAUUGGAAUUGGCAGUUAUUUGUAAGGUAAUACCUUAUCAUUGAUUUAAUGGAUCCAUUAUUUAUUAUAGGUACAUAAUUUUACAGUCACUGGUCUAAAUAGAUGCAACCAUCUGAGCUACAUUAAAAUAUUUUAAGGAUAACAUAUGGAUGGUUAUGUCUGAACUUACGGAGUGUCUGUUGCUGUGCGUGAUCUUUCCUUGGUACAGUGUUUAUCAUUUGGUUAUGGAAAGAAAAAUAAGCAAUGUUUGCCAUUUUAAAAAUAAUGCAUACUUUUUGGAAUCGUGUCAGAGCUGUAUGCCAGCUUCUUUAUUUCUGAAGUACAGUGUUUGAAGAUUUUUAUGUCAUCUAAGUAAUGUACCUGAAUGUUAUUGUAGCAAAUACUUUUACUGUCCAGUGAAAUCUGCAUGUUUUUGAGGAAGAAUUGUUCAAACUAGACUCUGGUAGUACAAAGAGAAUAAAAAAUAAAUUGGCAUGUUGG